rnacentral:rRNA from 1 species
AGCAGCCACUCAUUAAAAGAGUGCGUAAUAGCUCACUGGUCGAGUGACUCUGCGCGGAAAAUAUAACGGGGCUAAGCAUACAACCGAAGCUUGGGAUUGUCUAAAGACAGUGGUAGGGGAGCGUCGUGUAUGGGGUGAAGUCGCAUCGGAAGGAGCGGUGGACUGUACACGAGUGAGAAUGCCGGAAUGAGUAGCGAGAAUUAUGUGGGAAUCAUAAUGGCCGAAAAUCUAAGGUUUCUUGGGGAAGGUUCGUCCGCCCAAGGUAAGCCGGGAGCUAAGGCGAGGCCGCAAGGCGUAGUCGAUGCACAUACGGUAAAGAUUCCGUAGCCGCCGAACUUUAAGUCAGAGGGACACUUGCAGAUAGCGGAACCCAGCCGUUGGUUGAGCUGGGCGAAAGGGACUGAAAUUAGUAGGGAAGUCCGCGAUGCUGAAAGGCGAGAAAAGCUCUGAUGGAUACUAAGGCGCCCGUACCGCAAACCGACACAGGUAGAUGAGGAGAGAAUCCUAAGGCCAACGGGAGAAGGGUUGUUAAGGAACUCGGCAAAUUGACCCCGUAACUUCGGAAGAAGGGGAGCCCCGAAAGGGGCCGCAGUGAAUAGGCCCAAGCAACUGUUUACCAAAAACACAGGUUUAUGCUAAAUCGAAAGAUGACGUAUAUGAGCUGACGCCUGCCCGGUGCCGGAAGGUUAAGAGGAGAGCUUAGAGGCAACUCGAAGGUUUGAAUUGAAGCCCCGGUAAACGGCGGCCGUAACUAUAACGGUCCUAAGGUAGCGAAAUUCCUUGUCAGGUAAGUUCUGACCCGCACGAAUGGCGUAAUGAUUUGGGCACUGUCUCGACAGCCCGCCCGGCGAAAUUGUAGUACUGGUGAAGAUGCCAGUUACCCGCAACUAGACGGAAAGACCCCAUGGAGCUUUACUGCAGUUUAAUACUGGGAAUCGGUAAUGCAUGUACAGGAUAGGUGGGAGACAUGGAAGCAUGGUCGUCAGGUCAUGUGGAGUCACCGGUGGGAUACCACUCUUGUAUUGCUGAUUUCCUAACCUGCGGCCGUGAAUCCGGUCGGGGGACACUGUUAGACGGGCAGUUUGACUGGGGCGGUCGCCUCCAAAAGAGUAACGGAGGCGCUCAAAGGUUCGUUCAGCACGGACGGAAAUCGUGCAUUGAGUGUAAACGCAUAAACGAGCCUAACUGCGAGACCGACGGGUCGAGCAGUAACGAAAGUUGGAGUUAGUGAUCCGGUGGUAUGUGAGUGGAAAUGCCAUCGCUCAACGGAUAAAAGCUACCCUGGGGAUAACAGGCUGAUCUCCCCCAAGCGUCCACAGCGACGGGGAGGUUUGGCACCUCGAUGUCGGCUCGUCGCAUCCUGGGGCUGUAUUCGGUCCCAAGGGUUUGGCUGUUCGCCAAUUAAAGCGGCACGCGAGCUGGGUUCAGAACGUCGUGAGACAGUUCGGUCCCUAUCUGUUGCGGGCGUAAGAGAUUUGAAGGGAGCUGUCCUUAGUACGAGAGGACCGGGAUGGACGUACCUCUGGUGCACCAGUUGUCCUGCCAAGGGCAUAGCUGGGUAGCUAUGUACGGACGAGAUAAACGCUGAAAGCAUCUAAGCGUGAAACUCCCCCUAAGAUGAGAUCUCUCAUCCUUUAUGGAGUAAGGGCCCAGAAAGACGAUCUGGUUGAUAGGCCGGAGGUGGAAGUGCAGCAAUGUAUGGAGCUGACCGGUACUAAUAGCCCGAGGGCUUGACCU